AGAUGCUCAUUCCACCUCUUAUGUUCGCCUUAGGCCUCAUAAACCCUGGGAAUGACGCAGAGCCGAUUUAGGGUGCCUAUCGCCCACGAGAACGAUGACUAACCCGUCAUCACGCUCAGGGCAAAACGUUGAGUGAGGCACCGCCCC
rnacentral:sRNA from 1 species